UAGCGUAUGUAUGCCUAUAUUAGCUUUUAUAUCAUUUUGAAAACAUUAUAUGUAUUGUCGCUCAUUAUCAAAACAACGGAGACGUUUGAAUUAACCGUAAUGCCUAAAAUGCACCAACAAUCUCCCCCUUUUUGAUAAUGACAACAAUACAUCUAAUAGGUAUGAAAAUGCAAUAAAAGCUAAAGUCGUUAACAACAUAACAUACCUAUUUUUGAUGAAAAAUAAUGAUUGAAGCAACAUGCAUACCUAUUACUUAUCCCCCUUUGUCGUAUCAAAAAGAAGGUAGGAGGUAUUAGAGCCUAGGUUCGAUCCGUGUGACAUGUGGGUAGACAAUAAAAGCUCCCCCUUGAACUAAGCUCCCCCUUGAACGUUGCUCCCCUCAUUGUACCUAUUAUCUCAAUAAAAGCUGUUACGAUGGUCAAGUUCGCUCAUUAGAUAUUGAAAAGGAGAUGUUUGAUCUGGCAUAUUCCACUGAAAAUGGAAUAUACUCUAUGUCUCAACGACUUGACGAUGUUAACUCCUUGUAUUUUGGUGAGGGUUUUGGAGUUGUUUGUAGUUUGGAUGAGAGGUCCGGGAAGACAUCAUUUUCAUGGGAGCUGCAUGGGAGUAGAAUUAAUAUGAUAGACUUUAAUUCAGAAAAUUUUAAUAUGAUGGCUACAAGUUCAAGAGAUCGAACUGUCUGCAUUUGGGAUUUGAGAAAACUCACUAAGAGCAAGCCUAACUGUCUUAAGAUGAUUACCCGUGAGAGGGCUGUAAAGUCUGCUUACUUCUCUCCUUCAGGAAGCCAUCUUGCUACAACAAGGUGAAUCUGGACUUAUUUUGAUAAGACUGAGCAGAAAGAUACGUCAAUCGUAACAUGUCACCCUCAACUAAUUUGGUUGCCUGUUGAUGUCAAGAUUGGAGUGCUAUGUGGGGCAAAUUAUGAUGAUGAAUUCAUGAUAGACCCUGGUAAUCAGACAUGCCGAUGGCCUUCUAAAUUCAAAGGUAUAUGGGGGUGGGAUGACUCACAUAUAUUUUUGGGAAACAAUAAAGGAGUUGAUAUUAUAUCCACAGAAGAGAGGAGAGUUGUUACCACUUUUGAUAGCCCCCACAUCACUGUAAUCCCAUAUCAUUUUGAUGCUCAUCCAUUGAAGCCUGGGAUGCUUGCAGGGGCGACAAGUGGAGGCCUGGUUUAUAUGUGGAGCACAUAGCUGGUAACCGACCUGUAAUGGCUUGGUUUCAAUUGUGACUUGAGCAACCUAUGACAUACACUCUAGUUUGACUUUUUGUAACAUCUUAUUUUUGGUGAUCUCCAUCUCCUGAAGCCUGGAAUGCUUGAAGGGGCGACCAAUGGAGGCCAUGUUUAUAUUUGGAGCUCAUAGCGCUAAACUCACAUGUAAUGGCUUGUUUUCUGUAGUGACUUGAAUCCCUCGUAGAUCGUUUAGUUUCAGGCGUUACAUAUAUCUAAGCUAUAAUGUGUCUGUAUUAAUUAGUUUCUAUCCCGAGCUUCAUCCAUUGAGAAUGAAGUCAAUUUUGAGCUUGUUUUCAACGUUAUGUGAAUGCUAUUUAUGUAUCUAAUUGUCCAAUA